GAAAUGCGAUAAGUAGUGUGAAUUGCAGAAUUCAGUGAAUCAUCGAAUCUUUGAACGCACAUUGCGCUUCCUGGCAUUCCAGGAAGCAUGCCCGUUUCAGAAUCAUUUAAAAACCAUCUCGUCAAUUUCCCUUUUUUGGGGGAAUCGGCGCUGGGACGUUGGACAGUUUGAUUAAAGGUCUUCCUCGGUCUAGGCUUGGGGAAGUUCAGUUCAAUUGUCUGAAAUUGAUUGUGUGCGCACCGAUUGUUGUGUCGGAUAGCUCUCAAGGUGCAAUAAGAUUAACAUCUGGUUGAACCUCCACCCUUUGGGCUACCUGUUGCAAAUUCGGAGUCGGGCACUUUUUAACACCAGCUAACAGCACGCAACAGCAUUCUGUUAGCUCUUGAAACUUGGUCUGAAA
rnacentral:misc_RNA from 1 species